UGGAAUAACUGAUUUUCUUUGUACAACUUUUUAAAAAUAAUCUAUAUAGUGAUAGUUGACCUUUUUGCUUAUUCCACAUUAAGCAUCCCAUGGCCCCUGCAGCUGAGUUAUUGUUCAUAAACUCAGAUUAAAACAAAAUAAGUCUUCCGUUCUUUCCUUCCAAUUUCCCCAUUAUGGUUCAGGACAAAUCCUUUAUCAAAUUAGAAAGGUUAGUCCAUUGGCAUCAGUCCAAGGAGGCUGCCAGGCAGCAUUAGCCAAGAAUAUCUUUCAGGACAUCUGAGAUGUAUUUGCAUAUGAAAUACUGCCAUGGGGGUUCCUGAAAGAGAAGAGAGUUUGGUUCAUGAAAAGGAGAAGAAAUCCAGUGCUCUGACUUCUCCUUAUUCUAGUUUGAAGUAGUUUGACAUGCAGACCCACCUUGGCGAUGAUGGACUGCCAUCAAUACAUGCCCAAAGGCACCACUGCCCAGCUCUCGAAUGAUGGUGUAACUACUGGUCACCUCCACUUGAGGUAGAUUCUGAGCUGUCAGCUGCACCAUCUCCUCAAGUCGUUUUCCAAUGUCACCUGGGAUUAGUUUCAUGACUGCAGGGAAAGAGAAACAUAGAUACAUAUAGAGAGAGCUUGAGGUGAACACAGAAGACAUUAUUAAAUAAGUAGAACCUUA